UACGUAGGGGGCUAGCGUUGUGCGGAAUCAUUGGGCGUAAAGAGCGUGUAGGCGGUCCGGUAAGUCCGCUGUGAAAGUCGGGGGCUCAACCCUCGAAUGCCGGUGGAUACUGUCGGGCUAGAGUGCGGAAGAGGCGAGUGGAAUUCCUGGUGUAGCGGUGAAAUGCGCAGAUAUCAGGAGGAACACCUAUUGCGAAGGCAGCUCGCUGGGACGUAACUGACGCUGAGACGCGAAAGCGUGGGGAGCAAACAGG
rnacentral:rRNA from 1 species